UCAGACGAUGCGUCAUGCAUAUCAAUAAGCGGAGGAAAAGAAACUAACAAGGAUUCCCUAGUAACGGCGAUGUGAAGCGGGAAGAGCUCAAAUUUGAAAUCUUCAAGGUUCUACCUUGACGAAUUGUAGUUUAAAGAAGUGUUUUCUGUUAGAGAGUAGGUAAAAGUUCUUUGGAAUAGGACAUCAUAGAGGGUGAGAAUCCCGUAUUUGACUAUUCUUUCUAGCUGUGUGAUUACACUUUCAAAGAGUCGGAUUGUUUGGGAAUGCAGUCCAAAAUGGGUGGUAAAUUUCAUCUAAAGCUAAAUAUUGGCGAGAGACCGAUAGCGAACAAGUACCGUGAGGGAAGAUGAAAAGAACUUUGAAAAGAGAGUUAAACAGUACGUGAAAUUGUCAAAAGGGAAGCGUUUGACACCAGUGUUGUUUUCUCGAAAAUCAAUUAUAAAGAGUUUGGAUUUCUGAGUAGUGAUGACCUUCAUCAGCUUGCCUUCAUCUCUUUCACUGACUUUUUUUAAUGCACUUUUCGUUUAACAAGUCAACAUCAGUUUCUUUUGUUGUAAAAGAGGUAUUCGGAAGGUGGCUUUCUUUCGGAGAAAGUGUUUAUAGCCCUGAUACUUCUAGCAAUCGGAGAGAUUGAGGUCUGCAGCGUAGAUCCUUCGGGGUUAGAUACAUUUGUGCUAAGCUACAGCUUUUCAUAGACAACUUGUUGACUAUGUUUAGUCUUGUAACUUACCCGCUUAUGCUAUUUUACCUACGCUUAGGAUGUUGAUAUGCAUGACUGAUAU
rnacentral:rRNA from 1 species